rnacentral:rRNA from 1 species
GACGAACGCUGGCGGCGUGCUUAACACAUGCAAGUCGAACGGAAAGGCCCUGCUUUUGUGGGGUGCUCGAGUGGCGAACGGGUGAGUAACACGUGAGUAACCUGCCCUUGACUUUGGGAUAACUUCAGGAAACUGGGGCUAAUACCGGAUAGGAGCUCCUGCUGCAUGGUGGGGGUUGGAAAGUUUCGGCGGUUGGGGAUGGACUCGCGGCUUAUCAGCUUGUUGGUGGGGUAGUGGCUUACCAAGGCUUUGAGGGGUAGCCGGCCUGAGAGGGUGACCGGCAACAUGGGGCCUGAGAGAGGCCCCAGACGCGAAGGGGAGGCAGGGGGGGGAAGUCUGGCAGAAGGGCGGGGAGCGUGAGACAGAAGCGCCGGGUGCGGGAUACCGGCCUCGGGGUGAAAAACCAAUGUCGCCGGAAACAAGGCGGGAGUGACGGUAGUGGAUAAAAAAGCCACGGCUAACUACGUG